GUCUCAGCUAUUUGGGAGGCUGAGGUGGGAGGAUCACUUGAGUCCUGGGGCUGUGAUCAUGCCCCUGCACUCCAGCCUGGGGAACAGAAUGAGACCCUGUCUCAAAAAAAUAAAAAAAAAAUAAUAAAUAAAAUAAAGAAACUCCACCUUGGCCGGGCGCACUGGCUCACUGGGAUUACAGGCAUGAGCCACUGCGCACAGUCUACAAGGCAUCUUUCAAAAGCAAACAUGUUAUUCCUCACACACCUUCUGAAGAUUAAACAUGGGAUGGACACUACUGAUGUGUGGUGGGCUUUGUAUGGCUCACUAAGUGGGAGGAAUUUUUUUAAUAUCCUAUGUCAUAACUCUCAAAGAAUGUGUUAAAGCCAACCCAGGAAAUUUCUUAGGAACAGAGGUCAACUUGACGGUUGCAGUAUUUCUCGGACUUGCGGCUGAUGACAAGGCACAGCAGCCUGGGAAUUACACAAUCUCCGCUCUUACGCAUUUCUUAAUCAUUCACUGGAUACAGUUGCAUGAAUACUUUCUGUUCCUGUUCGAGUUUAGUAAAAAUAGCAAAAUAGAAGCGUCUAUGGGGUUAGGAGAGGAAAAACACUCUAGCAGCAAAUUCUGUUCCAUUCGACCCAACGUACACGAUAGUGAUCAGAGGACGUCUCUGGAGAGCGUGUUUUCCUUUUGACCUUGUGUACUUCCUGUACUUCGCUGCCUCUGUGAGCGUGCUGCUCAGGCAGGGCUCUGGGUCCUCAGCAGCACCGAGGCAGCAGAAACACCAGGUAUCCGGUGCCCACCACACCAGCAACUUCUGCAGGUCACUGCUGAUCCCCACCAGGUCUGACGGGCGGCUGCUCCUCCUGCAUUUCACAGAUGAUUGAAGGAGGCUCCCCAAGGAAGCUGUCCUGGUCAGGUGGUUACAGGUGGCAGAGCAGGUGUGAUAGCCCCAGGGCUGUCUGGCUCCAGAGCCUGUCCUUUCUCAACCCUACCACCCUACUUUACGACUUUACCUCCACUUGUUUUUCUUGCCAAAAACUUUUAGCACUACAGGAGAAAGAAGGCCUAGCUUCAGGGCGCUCACAGUCUAGUGAAGGAGAAAAGAUGAAUAUUUAAAAAGCAUUUUCUUCUCUGUGCAAUGAGGAGCCUGGCACUCUGUGCAAUGAGGAGCCUGGCAUUCAAUUAGAAUUAGGGAUUCUAACUGAAGCAUCAAACCAGAUUAGCUCAAUGCAGGAUGUUGGAACAGAGCACUGUGGGAAUUCUGCUUACUGUCAGAGUUUGUAUAUGGGUAGCCAGGCAUGGGGAGGAGGUGGGAAACAGUGAAAGCUGGAGGGACCAGGAUUCAUACCCCAGAGUGAUGGAUAAGGUGUAGACAGUAUAACAGCAACCUCGAUAGCUUGUAUUGAUUUUGGACUUGCCAAAGCCAGGUUUGAAGUGCUUUCUAGGUUUUGAUGCUUUGAAUCCACCCUGUAAACCUUAAAGUAGGUACUAUUACUCUGUCCAUUUCCACGUGAAUAGUGGAGACAUAGGGAGGUUAGGGAAAUUGUCCAGGCCCCCCAGCUAGUAAGUGGCCAGUACUCGAACAUAGGCGGGCUGACUCCAAGCCCAAGUUCUUGAUCACUGUACAAAGUAGAGGAUAAGUUGGCAAAUACUCUAAUAGAUUUUGCCAUUAUGCUUGUCAAAUUUGUAAUUAUUUGCCUACUGUCUGUUUUCUCCUCUAACCUAUGUCUCCAAGAGGGCAGGAACUAUGUCUGUCUGGCUCUCAGAGGUAAUUUCAGCACCUAGACUAGUGACUGGCACAUAGAAGGGUCUCAAAAGUUUCGAAGAAUGGAUGAAAUGCAUUGAGGGAAACAGAGGAUUCCUUUCCACGAGCAGUCCCCACCCUCUGAGUCCGCCAUUCAAGAGCUGACGAAUAUGAGCAAACUCACUUCUCUCCCUCCCUUGUCAUCAGCAAAAUGGGGUUGAUAACAGAAGUGAAGCUCCAGAAAAUGGUCUGGAAGUUCCUAAAAAGUUAAAAAAUAGAGUCACCAUAGGACUCAGCAAUUCCACUCCUGGGUGUUUACCCAGGAGAAUUGAGAAUACAGUUAUGUCCACACAAAAACUUAUGCAAGGAUGUUCAUAGCAGCAUUAUCCGUGAUAGCCAAAAAGUGGAAACAACUCAAAUGCCCAUCCACAGGUGAGUGCAUAAACAAAACCAAGGAGAUCCAUGCAAGCACAUAUUUGGUCACAAAAAGAGCGAAGUGCUGAGACAUGCAACAAUAUGAGUAAACCUCAAAAACAUUAUGCUAAGUAAAGAAGCUGGUCACAAAAGGCCACAAAAUGUAUGGUUCCAUUUACAUGAAAUGCUCAGAACAGACAUGUCCAUGGAGGCAAAAAGUAGAUUCGUGGUGGACAGGAGCUGGGUGGAGGGAGGAAUGGGGAAUGAAGAGUAUCUUUUUGGAGUGAUGAGAAUGUUCUGGAAUUAGAUAGUGAUGAUGGUUAUGAAUAUACUAAAAACCACUUAGUUGGAGACAGAACUGGGUUCAAUCCUGGCUGCCCCCCGGCUUGGUGUAUGAGCUGGGGCAAGUUACUCCAUUUUGGGAUCCUCAGUUUCCUUAUCUGUAGGAAGAGACCCUGAUCCAUUUUGAUCCUCAUCACCCUAUUCACUCCUUCUCCUAUGUCCUUGGUGACAAGCCUGGGAGGAAAGAAUGUCCUCUGUUGCACUGGAUUGCCCUGAGGGCAGUGGAUGCCCCUGACUGCUCUGGAUUAGACAGGGCACUUUUCCUUUAUGUUGCAGCCGCCUACCUUGCAGACCUAAUUCAAGGGGUAUGAGGCUUAUCCUGGAAUAUUGUCUAUUUUGUCCCCAAAAUUCCUCAAGCGAUUCCAGCAUGCACCCAAGUUUGUGAACCACUAACUUCAGCUAACAUGCACCAGAAUCACAGGAAGGCAUUUGUUAAAACACCAAUCAUUGGUUCCACCUCCAGAGUUUCUGGCUCUGCACACUUGGGCAGGGUGGAGCCUGGACAUCUGCAUUUCUAACAAGUUCCCAGGUGACACUUAUGAUGCUGUUCUGGCCCACAGUGAGCCCAAACUACAGCCAUGGAGAUCAGCCUCAGCUAGACAAUAGACUCACCUGGACAGUAGACUCACCUGGGAGCUCUUGCAAACACACAGGCUGCACCAAUUAAAUCAGAAUCUUUGAGGCAAGUCCAGGCCUCAGGACUUCCCCCUCAACAUUGCAUUAUGAAAAUGUUCAGCCC
rnacentral:lncRNA from 1 species